UACGUAGGGUGCAAGCGUUGUCCGGAAUUAUUGGGCGUAAAGAGCUCGUAGGCGGUCUGUCGCGUCGGAUGUGAAAAUCCAGGGCUCAACCCUGGACCUGCAUUCGAUACGGGCAGACUAGAGUUCGGCAGGGGGGACUGGAAUUCCUGGUGUAGCGGUGAAAUGCGCAGAUAUCAGGAGGAACACCGGUGGCGAAGGCGGGUCUCUGGGCCGAUACUGACGCUGAGGAGCGAAAGCGUGGGGAGCGAACAGG
rnacentral:rRNA from 1 species